rnacentral:rRNA from 1 species
UUUUGACCUCAUAUCAAGUAAGAUCACCCGCUGAACUUAAGCAUAUCAAUAAGCGGAGGAAAAGAAACCAACAGGGAUUCCCUUAGUAACGGCGAGUGAACCGGGAAAAGCUCAAAUUUGAAAUCUGCCAACAGGCCGAGUUGUAAUUUGUAGAUGGCUACACUGCAUAAUAGUAGAUGCUCAAGUUCUUUGGAAAAAGACAUCAUGGAGGGUGACAAUCCCGUGAGGCAUGUUACUAGGAGCAUAUAGUGGGCUUUCUAAGAGUCGAGUUGUUUGGAAAUGCA